UGAAMCCGGRCCCCARAAUCYUMCCGAGAGGCAMGCMGUGAGGAUUUGUUCMAUUGGGGCCAGCUGACAGCAUUCCGSGKGAAAGAAUGAAGCUAUGAUCGUAACUUYUUUUAUACGCCAAGAAAUUUCGACGUGUCCGGAACUGACGGUAGGKUAUGAAUWAGCAUCGGUUAAYUCCGKGCCAGCAGCCGCGUUAAUACGGAGGAUGCAAGCGUUAUUCCGGAUUCAUUGGGUUUAAAGGGUGCGUAGGCGGCUUUUAAGUCAGUGKGAAAUCUUGCCGCUUAACGGUAAAAUUGCCAUUGAUACUGAAAAGCUUGAGUACAUUUGAGGUAAGCGGAAUGUGUAGUGUAGCGGUGAAAUGCUUAGAUAUUACACAGAACACCAAUUGCGAAGGCAGCUUACUAAACUGUUACUGACGCUGAUGCACGAAAGCGUGGGGAGCGAACAGGAUUAGAUACCCUGGUAGUCCACGCCGUAAACGAUGUUCACUCGCUGUUUGCGAUACACAGCAAGCGGCCAAGCGAAAGCAUUAAGUGAACCACCUGGGGAGUACGAUCGCAAGGUUGAAACUCAAAGGAAUUGACGGGGGCCCGCACAAGCGGAGGAACAUGUGGUUUAAUUCGAUGAUACGCGAGGAACCUUACCUGGGCUUAAAUGUAGAGCGACAGAUUGUGAAAGCAGUCCUUCUUCGGACGAUCUACAAGGUGCUGCAUGGUUGUCGUCAGCUCGUGCCGUGAGGUGUCGGGUUAAGUCCCAUAACGAGCGCAACCCUUAUCGUUAGUUGCCAGCGGGUCAAGCCGGGGACUCUAGCGAGACUGCCACCGUAAGGUGUGAGGAAGGUGGGGAUGACGUCAAAUCAGCACGGCCCUUAUGUCCAGGGCUACACACGUGUUACAAUGGCAAGUACAAAGGGCAGCUACCGGGUGGCCGGAUGCUAAUCUCUAAAGCUUGUCUCAGUUCGGAUCGAAGUCUGCAACCCGACUUCGUGAAGCUGGAUUCGCUAGUAAUCGCAUAUCAGCCAUGGCGCGGUGAAUACGUUCCCGGGCCUUGUACACACCGCCCUGCAAGCCRWGGAAGUUGGGGGUACCYGAAGUCCGUAMCCGUAAGGAGCGGCCUAGGGUAAAACUAGKGAYUGGGGYUAAGUCGUAACAAGGUAACCGU
rnacentral:rRNA from 1 species